AUUUAUAAUGUUUUGUGUCAAAAAUAUGUGAGAAAUGAGGUAUCUACCUAAUGGUAGGAAGAAAUUAAUUAUGUAAUGGUAGGAAAAAUAAUUUCACUUUAAUUACGUAUUAGAAAAUCAGUAAUCUUAAAUUAGGAUGCAUCAAUGGAGAAGAAGGCAAUUGUAAUCACAAUACAAUAAUAGAUCUACAAAUACCAGGCAAUACAUUAAAUCAAACACUGUUGUAAUUAUGUACUCCCUGUGGUCUUAUUAAUGUCAGCUUAUUGAUAGCUCGAUUACCAGUCAAAUAGUUUCGCUGUUUUCUAUACUAUGAAGAAAAUUUGAUCUGAUUAGAUUAAUUCAGAUGUAAAUUUAUGUUAUACGGUGAAUGUAUCGAGUCAUAUAUUAUGCAGAAUAUAUUGAGAAA
rnacentral:lncRNA from 1 species